CGGAAAACAAAAAAUGACCUAUAUUACAGGGGUAAAGCACCAUUAACCCAAUUAAAAAUACUAAAGUCAGAACUUGGAUCGCUUGAUUUUGAUCUGAUGGUCGGUGCAUGAAAUCUAAAGUUAUUAGAUCUGAUGAAUGAAAUAUUUAUGUUGAGAAAUCAAGGAUCUGCCAACGCUUAUGUAAGAAUCUGAAGAUCAUGAAGGAGAAAUGUCAACCAUUCGAGUUCACCUGUUGUGGAGGAAACCACCCUAUAUUCUGCUUCAGAGGAUGAACAUAUACUUGUUUCUUUGAUUUCUAGGAAAUUAAUGAUGAUCCAAGGAUAAUACAGUGGCUGUCAUAGAUUUUCUAGUUUCCGAACAAGUAGCCCAAUCAGAGUCGCUAAACGCAUGCUGGUGGGAAUAACAAACCCAGUGCUUGUGCAUUUUUCAAGUAUUUGAUAAUCCUUAUUGCUGCCAAAUAGUGAUCUUCAGUUGGUGAUUUCAUGAAUUAACUGAGGUAUUACAUAGAAAAGGAGAUAUUUGGCCGUUGGUCAAAUAGAUCAAACGAACAACGAUUCUUCUGUAC
rnacentral:lncRNA from 1 species